rnacentral:SRP_RNA from 1 species
GCUGGGUACAGUAGCAUGAGCCUGUAGUCCCAUCUACUCAGGAGGCUGAGAUGGGAGGAUCGUUCGAGCCCAGGAGUUCAAGGCUAUAGUGUGCUAUGUUCAGGCCAGUAAAUAGCCAAUUUACUCCAGCCUGGGCAACAUAGUGAGAUCCCAUCAUUA